ACGCUAUUGGUGCAGGUGCAGGGGUUGCAACCACAGUGCUUGCCACAAGCACUUCUUGUGGUCUACUACACUGGGAUCAUCCCCAGUCUACUACACUGGGAUCAUCCCCAGUAGACGUGAUUGCAAUCAGUGCUCUUAUAAUAUAUGUGACCCGUGUAGCUAGGGUUACAAACAGACAUGGGAUAGGUAUCAACUUCUGGUCAACAAGACACUUUAUGAGAAAACCAUAGCAAGUGGCUUUGGCUCAGUUCACUUUCUUCUGGAUGCUUCUGAACAGCAGCAAUACAAGGAAGCCAUAUUGGCUUAUGCAAUCUUGCUUAAAGCAGAGACUGGCCAGGUUUGUCUUG